ensembl:lncRNA
GUGACUUCUAAGGGAUGAGAUACAGGCCAGGUCAUUAGAGCUCUGUGGAUCCUGAGGAGGACCUGGGCUUUUCUGCUGAGUGAAUUGGGAAGCCCUUGGAGAGUUUGGCGUACGGGGCCUGAAGCACCUACAUAUGCUGUGCUGGGUCUCUCUUGAACAGGGUCCCACUCCGGCAGUCUUGUUGAGAGGCCUCCCUGGGCAACACUCUGGGGACGUGUUGCAGGUGCUCUUGUCUACAAGAAGGAAGCCUUGCAUCGCGCAUUAGAUGAGGCGAAACCGCAUUCUAGCAGCCACAUGAGUUAUUUGAAAAGAUGACCAGUCAUCUGGAGUUUCCUGACUGCCCUGAGAACUUGAAAUCUGAGCAAGCGGAAAUAGUAACGACAAUAUUUACGGCGUUUUCCCACAGCAGUGCUGGUAGCAGGUCGCCGCUGAGCCUUGUUCUCCUGGGGCGACAGAUGUGUGUUUUGGUGAUUCAUAACAUCAGGAAUCAAGGAGAUGCUUUCCUGUCCCUCUGUUCCAUUUUCAUGUCCUUCUCCUGUAAGCCCCGUCUCUGGAGGGCAGAUGGCAGGCUCCGGGGAGUUACCCAAGGGAGCUCUAAUGCCAUUGCUGUAUGGCCCCUUCACUGAACACUCCUUUAAAGACACCAGGUCACCUCAAAAGCCAAUUUCGGACUCAUUUUUUCUUAACCACCAAAAAAAAAUUUUUUAAUGUUGUUCAUUAGAUGAACUGAAGAAAAGUCAUAAAAAUCAGAACAAAGUUUAGCCCGAGAUUCAAAAGAAAUGAGGAAAUAUAAUUCUUAGCUUAAAACCCAAACUGUUCUUUUGAAAUCUAUUCAGCAGUGGGGGAAACAUCGAUAUUCUGCUUCAGUGCCUUAGUACUUAAAAGGGAUAUAUUGGGCUCUAUACUUUAACUGCCAAAUCCGACAUUCAUAUCCAUCUGGACAUUUUUAAAAGGAUCCUUGAGCCAGCCAGAGUUGGCAGUUGGCUGUAUAAUCACACCUGCAUAUGGCACAGGAGUUUUUUUAAUGGGCAACAGUUAGAGCAUGAAAGUAUUGCAUGAUAUGCCUUCGUUUAAAACCCACACUUCAACAUGUUUGCACAUGUGAGUAAUUAUAUUUUAAAGCUCUCUGUUAAGCCUUUGUUCUUUAUUUCCUACAGAUCAAAUUAGUUGGGGACCCAGUUUAUUUUGAAAUUAUUUGGAAAAUGUUUUGGCGUUCUAAAAUUUCCUUUGUACAGAAGUUUUGCAAAGUUAAAAGGCAAGCCACAAACCUCCACAACCAGUGGAAGAAGAAAUGCAUAAAACCACCAACAAAUUAAAUAUGACAAACACCCACGCAACAGGAGAAUGUCAGGAAAGCUUGUGUCUCUAAGUACGUGUCAACCUCCAUGUGGGAUUUGGCUCCAACUCACUGUACAUGGAGAUAAUCUUUAAUGCUUAUAAAUCUGGAGAACCUGGCUUCACAAAGAUCACAUUUGUCCCAGUGCAAUAUAGGCUUCCAGGGCUCUCCUUCUACAUCCCUUGUAGUGUAAGUCUAACUGUACCUUACUGCCAGCAACAUCCAGGAGUGAAGCUGAUGUGUAAUCGGGGGCUACUCUUUGAGAUGAUUUUCAAAGAAAGGUUAAAGGUAAUGAGGAGGGAAGCAUCCUGACUUGGGAGAGCCCAAGUCAGAAAUUGUCUUCAACCACCUACCCUGCCUCCUUUGCCAGUACACAGAGCCCAGUUUGGGAAAGGCAAUGAGAUAAUCUACAAAAUCACUUGGGAUGGUCUUGUUAAGGAUGGUGCAUUGACUGUGGCUAGCUACUCUGCUUCUUUAGAAUAGCAGUCACUGUGUGAAAAUCCUAUAUAGAAUGGUCACUCAUCCCUACGCAGGAAAUUUCACCUAAACAGCUUCUGGGACUGCUUUAAUUACUUCCAACCACCAACAUGGAAGGGGACAUCCGACACAUGGAAGAUUAAAAAUUGCAUUUAAAAUGCAAGGUGGGGGCCCAUAGGCAACUUCUUUCUCACAGGUGAUGGGGAUUCAUGGCUGCUGUGGCUGUGCUGGGCCUUCCCUCUUCCUCAGUUUCCCGGUUACCAUCCUCUUUCCCCUGCUUCCUCUCUUCCUAUCCAUGCCCUUGCUGGAUCAUCACUUUCUGACACCAUCGUUAGCCUUUCUACAUAGAAAAUACUCUUGAAAAAUCAGAGAUGCCUAAUGUAAAAGACUGCAGUCAUCACAAACAUCAUUUGAAAAUAAAAUCAUGUUUCUAACUAAAUUUGAUUCUCUUUCUUCAGUGGACAUAAAGCAGACACAUGAAUUUAUAGGAUAAAACUCAUGCUUGGUUUUGACUCCUGAAAUAAUGAAAAAAAAUCAUUUUCUAUUUCUUAGCCAGGCAGUGAAGGAAUCAUUCUUGCCUUUCCAAAUGGGCAGGGCUUUCAAGACUGACAGGGCAAGGUCAGUACAUAAGAUUUUGUAAUCAUCACAAACAUGACUUGAGCACUCAAGCCUGAGGGGAAUGUGUGCUGGUGGGAAAGGUGGGGAUAACGUUUAGGAAAAGAGCUGUGCUUAACUAGGAUCAUAAGUUUGGAUUGCGUAGUAGUUUUUUUAUGACUAUUUUUUGUUUCUGAGGACAAUAAUCCAAUUCCUAAGUGGAAAGAAAGGGACUCAGAUUACACAAAGCUUGGCUCAAUUCAGCCACUUCAUGAACAAUCAAUGAUUGACGUGAACACGAAUUUAUAUCUUACAUAG